UGGGGAAUAUUGCACAAUGGGGGAAACCCUGAUGCAGCGACGCCGCGUGAAGGAUGAAGGUCUUCGGAUCGUAAACUUUUGUCUUCAGGGACGAUAAUGACGGUACCUGAGGAGGAAGCCACGGCUAACUACGUGCCAGCAGCCGCGGUAAUACGUAGGUGGCAAGCGUUGUCCGGAUUUACUGGGUGUAAAGGGCGCGUAGGCGGGUUGUUAAGUCAGGUGUGAAAUCCCUCGGCUCAACCGAGGAACUGCACUUGAAACUGGAGAUCUUGAGUGUCGGAGAGGGAAGCGGAAUUCCUAGUGUAGCGGUGAAAUGCGUAGAUAUUAGGAGGAACACCAGUGGCGAAGGCGGCUUUCUGGACGAUAACUGACGCUGAGGCGCGAAAGCGUGGGGAGCAAACAGG
rnacentral:rRNA from 2 species